rnacentral:lncRNA from 1 species
GGUCUCGGCGCAUGAGCAGUCCGUGUAGGCGAGGUUUUUAUUCCUUGUGACCUGGUGUUUCUGGAAGGCCUCUGGGUGAUACCUCUCAGAUGUGGUCUGGGCUCUGCCAGCCUGAUGACUAAAGGCAACCCUAAGGCGCUUAGUCCAGCAGCCCUGGGAACCACAAGGGAGUCACACACCUUUGGGGACAAGCCUAGUGGCAGGUUGCCUGGAGUGACCUUCCCCACCUCUGGCCGUUGCAGGCUCCUAUAAUUAGGUCAUUCGUGGGCGAAGGAAGGUGUACCUGCUGGGAUGUGUCGCCCGCGCACCUUACACCCCCAGCACACACCUGUCCCUGCACGAAGGCGGGGCCGAAGUGGGCCUUCGAUCCUGGCCUCUUCCUAAGCCUUGCUUCCUCUCCUGUGGCCUUCAACACCUCUGGUGUGCACUUUUCUCCGAGACCUGUGCCCACUGGAAAUAAUCUUGUCCUACAUUCUAGAGGAACAAGCCAGGGCUGUGUUCUGGUACUGGUAGAAGCAGCUACCGUGUGUUCUGUAAAGGAAGCUGAUAUUCUUAAGGAUCAGCCUUCGACCUGGUUAUAAAUCUCUUCUGAGGCUUGUGAAACGUGUUCACAUUGCACUGUCUGCAUUCACAGAGAUACUUGGCUCUACAGAGCAUCAACUGUUGACCAGAUCCCAUGCUUAGGGGACAAAGGGGUCAUGCAGACAGAAAGGGGCUACUGCCCUGGUGGAGCUUGAAUGUUCCUGGCUGGAAAUGAAUGGAAUGGAUGGAAGUCAUACACUGCUCCCCUCCAGAGUCUGGGAGAGAAGCCAAAGGAUGGUUAUCCAUGAAGGUCAAGGCAAGAGCUGACCUAGCUAUACUGUGGGGAACAGUCAAGCCUGUCACACACCGGAGAAGACACAGCUCAGAGCAUCAGAAGACACCCUGACCCACAAGCUACAAGAGGACCUCAGUGGCCCCAUCCACAAAUGGCAGGGAUGAAAAUCCUCCUUUAUCAAGGACAACCUGCUUGGCCAGGGGAACUGGCUUGACCAAUUCUGCUUUCUCUAGUGGGUACCUCCCACUAGAGUUCCCGAAGAAAGUACCUGAGAUCUACUCUUCUAGACGCCUCCAUACAUACUUGUUCUGCCAGUCCUUUCAGCUCAAAUUCUGACUCUGGUUUGCAGUGAAUAGCCCCCCAAAACAAACAGGAGUAAGAGUUAAGGCUACGUGAGAUGACUAAAUAAAGACUGUUUGGUGCCCAUAGUUAUAAAGCCA